rnacentral:lncRNA from 1 species
AGAAGAAUGUAGAACUUUCAUAACAGAAAGAAAAGUUUUUAGGCAUCUAUUUUACCAUCUCAGAGGAAGAUAGCUGCAGUUGUGUAAAACAGAUUUAUUUAUUCAAAAAUCAACUAUUUAUGGAAUACCUACUUUGUCUUGAGCCCUGAUGUGAGAGCUGGAGAUCCCAAGAUGAAUAAGACACCAUCGCUACUGUCAAGGAACUCACAGCCCAGUGAAAGACACAGAGAAGAAACUAGACAGUUGUAGUUGUAUCAGACACCUGCAGUUGCCAUCUACCUUUCUAGGAAUUGUCCUUUCCCACCCACACAGUCACAAAAGGCAAUAUGAUUCUACCCUCACUUUCCCAAGAUGAUUGGUCCCUCAGGAUGCAGUUGACUCAUGAGUAUUCUACAUUGUUACUGAAGUGAUGAUUCUUCUGACCAGUGAAACGGGGUCAUAUUUCCUGCAUUUAGAAUUUUAUUUGGUUCCCAGCAAGACAAUAGCAGUUAGAUUGAAUGACUCAGUAAUGGGAGCACUGAUUGAAAAAGAAAGAUGAGAAGAACCUCUGGGACUUGAACAAGAUUUAAUCUCUUUUGUUCUCAAAGAAAACUGGUCUGCAUAAAAGAGCUCAAACUGAAUUGUUCUAAACUGGAGGGGAAGGGGACUUCUAAACAGCCUAUUAUUUGAGAUUAUCCAGAUUAUAUAACUUAAUUCCAGAUACUUAGGAAUCAUUUUAUUUUCAAUAAAUUCUAUCUUUUCAUCUUC